rnacentral:rRNA from 1 species
GACGAACGCUGGCGGCGUGCUUAACCCAUGCAAGUCGAACGGAAAGGCCCUGCUUUUGUGGGGUGCUCGAGUGGCGAACGGGUGAGUAACACGUGAGUAACCUGCCCUUGACUUUGGGAUAACUUCAGGAAACUGGGGCUAAUACCGGAUAGGAGCUCCUGCUGCAUGGUGGGGGUUGGAAAGUUUCGGCGGUUGGGGAUGGACUCGCGGCUUAUCAGCUUGUUGGUGGGGUAGUGGCUUACCAAGGCUUUGACGGGUAGCCGGCCUGAGAGGGUGACCGGACACAUUGGGACUGAGAUACGGCCCAGACUCCUACGGGAGGCAGCAGUGGGGAAUAUUGCACAAUGGGCGGAAGCCUGAUGUAGCAAAGCCGCGUGCGGGAUGACGGCAUUCGGGUUGUAAACCGCUUUCGCCUGUGACGAAGCGUGAGUGACGGUAAUGGGUAAAGAAGCACCGGCUAACUACGUG